CCAGCAGCCAAGGUCUGUGAUGGGGGAAGGCCCAGGGCCACGGGACACUUCGGGGAGCCUGACUCAUGGGCUGGUGGCGUGGCCAGGAGCAUCCCCUCCUACCACUUCUCUUGUCCCUUAGGUGGUUCACAAAAUACACAGAAAUGGACUACGCCCGAGCUGGUAACAAAGCAGCUUUCACUGUGAGCCUGGAUCCAGGGCCCCUGGAGCAGUUCCCCCACUCCAUGGAGCCACAGCUCAGGCAGCUGGGCCUGCCCACCGCCCUCAAGAGAGGUGUGGUGACUCUGCUGUCUGACUACGAGGUAUGCAAGGAGGGCGAUGUGCUGACCCCAGAGCAGGCUCGCGUCCUGAAGCUUUUUGGGUAUGAGAUGGCUGAAUUCAAGGUGACCAUCAAAUACAUGUGGGAUUC
rnacentral:sRNA from 1 species